GUGUUUAUUAAAAAACAAAAAAAAAAAAAAACAAAGACUCUCCAGAAUCGAUGUAAUGUUGAGCAACAAUCUCGUCCGUCAAAUUCCUCUGUACCGGGGAAAUUAAACUAAUACCGAAAUAUUUCCAUUGCGAAAAAGAGAUAAGAUGAUCUCUUCUUAUGGCUUUUGUGGAAUACCUCGUAUAAGCUGAUUUUGUGUUCUUAUUAAAAUGUGUAAUUAAAUUCAUUAAAGAUAUGCUGAUCUCUCACGCAUUGCUCAGUUAAUGCGUGAGACGAAUGGUGAUGUUUGUUUUUGAUCAAAAAUUUAGGCUUCCUUCUAAUUCGCGCGUUAGAUAGAAUAAAGUUCCUUAUAUCUUUAAACACGGAAUUUUUUUAAAUUUUAGAUAUUAAAAUUAAGUUUUUUCCAAAUACUUAAUUGCCUAAUUUUUCAG